rnacentral:rRNA from 1 species
CCUACGGGUGGCAGCAGUGGGGAAUAUUGGACAAUGGGGGAAACCCUGAUCCAGCGACGCCGCGUGAGUGAAGAAGUAUUUCGGUACUUAAAGCUCUAUUAGCAGGAAAGAAAAUGACGGUACCGGACUAAGAAGCCCCGUCUAACUACGUGCCAGCAGCCGCGGUACUACGUAGGGGGCAAGCGUUAUCCGGAGUUACUGGGUGUAAAGGGAGCGUAGGCGGCAGCGCAAGUCUGGAGUGAAAUGCCGGGGCCCCACCCCGGAACUGCUGUGGAAACUGUGAGGCUUGAGUGCAGGAGAGGUAAGCGGAAUUCCUGGUGUAGCGGUGAAAUGCGUAGAUAUCAGGAGGAACGCCGGCGGCGAAGGCGGCUUACUGGACUGUAACUGACGUUGAGGCUCGAAGGCGUGGGGAGCGAACAGGAUUAGAUACCCCGGUAGUC